UCAUAAGUAAGGGACAUUCUUGGGGAUUCAAGAAAGAAAGUGAGUUCCCUAAGGUCAAGGGCUCAGCUCUGGGGCCCACAGUAAUCAGAUGACCCAAAUUGAGGGUGCAAGUCAGGAAACAGAAUCCAGGAGGGGUCGGCUGACAGCGUCAAUCUCUGGCCUCAAAGAGCCCUUUCCUGACUCUGCUGCCUUUUUCCAGAAGGACGGACUGUUUGACUGCAGUGACAAAUUUCCCCAGAAUCUCCGUGGCUUAACAGCAAGGCUGCACAUUCUGGGCACGUGGCCCCCUUGGCCUCGUAGUGGGGAAGAGAGACAGGAGACUCCCUCAUGGGCCUCUCUGCCUGUGUCACCGCCACUUGUACUUCAUCAGCCAGAACUAAUCACCAUGGCCUGGGCUUACUGCAAGGGAGCCAGGAAAUGCAGGGGAGCCAGUUGGAAUAUGUGGCGAUCAAACAAAGCACCAGGGGAUUUGCUCUGGGAGAAGCUGGCUGUGCUUUCGUGAGGACACUCCAGCGGCACCGUCCCUCCAGCCCAGAGAGGUCCCCACAUGAAGAAGCAAUGCCUCCUGCCGACAGUCAGCACUAGCCGUGCUGGAAGUAGAUCCUCCCGCCCGAGUCAAGCCUUCCUGUGACUGUAGCCCCUGCCGACAUCUGCCUGCGAUUUCAGGACAGACCCUGAGCCAGAGAUACCUAGCUAAGCCGCUCCCAAAUUCCUGACUCACUGAAGAGAGGAUAAAUGUCUGUUGUUGUUGAUGUCUCCAAGUUCUGGGUUCCUUUGUUGCACAGACAGCCAUGGAUAGCACAGGCGCCCAGAAGUCAUCAGAAUCCUUCUAUUUCUUUAUGCCAGUCCUCCAUGGCACGUUCCACAUUCUCCAAUACAAUAAACUGUUUUAGUCUUUGUGUUU